UCUGAAAUAUUCUGUUUUGUGCAUCAUUGGCCAAAUCAGAAUUGACUGAUUUAUAUUCGACAUGAAAAUUGGAUUUCAAAGUACAUUGCAAGAAGGCAGCUGGCCUAAUGAGAAGAUUAUUCUGUCGUAUCAAUGCAUAAUGUAGCUAAUGAAUUAAAUCUAACCACCUACGGUUAGAUCUGUUCACGAUGUAUAAAAAUGCAUAUGAAAAUGAGAUUUUUAUUAAAAAUAUCAUAACACGAAUAUUUUUACUUCAGCCAGAACAUGUUACAUAAGUCAUACAGCUGUAAGGUGAAUGUUAUUACACCACUGAUAUUUAAUCUAAAUACCAAAAUAAGUAUUAUUUUCACAUUUCUGUCAUAAACAGGGUGGCUUUUCACAGUGCAUCUAUGUCAGGAAUCAUAUGAACAAUGAUCCCCAAUACAGGUACAUUGUUCACCUCUGCAGGCAGGUGGGGAAUUAUGUCCUAUGGAUCUGAAUUAAUUUUAAUUCUAGUAUUUCCUCAGGUUUGUUACUUGAAUGGAAAAAGAAUUUUCUUAUGUUGACAUUUUAUGCACAAGAAGUUUAAUUUUAGAAGAACUUGUAAUUUUGUUUUAAUGAUUCAUUAAAAUGUUAUUUUGUUUAUGGCUUGUCUUCACUUAAAAAUUCUCAAAUAUUGCUUUAUAACAAUGAAGUAUAAUAACUUAAAACUAUUCAAUCUAUGAAUUCCCUAUGGAGAAGGUAAGGUGAUUGGUUAGUCACUGAGCUGUUAACAAUAUUUAAACAUGCACUGGUGUUUUUCAACAAACAAUUCCUGACGCGUUCUUUUGAUUUAUUCUUUUAAAUGAAAGUUGAAGAUUCCAGUGGGGCAGUGGGAUUGAAAUGAUACAGUGGAAUGAAUCAUUCUGAGCUAUCGCACAAAUGAUCUUUGUAUUAAAAAUGGAUUUAUUCAUUGAACCGCAACAGCUUCUUCCAAAAGCCUUUCCAAUUUAUCAAAUUAAUAAAAUUGUGCCUUUUAAAAAGGGGCAAUAUAUUAACGUUAAAAGAAAAUGCAUAUAUCAGAAGGCCAGGAAGAAUCAGCAGGCGUUCUGGAUGUAUGUAUAUUUUCGUUGUAACAAACCACCGUCCCUUCUAGGCUUUUAAGAUUAUGGUUUAUGUGUGAUUGCCCUCGUGCCAUAUCUAGUUCAGGGAAUCUAUGGAGUCCAUCACUGUCACAUCUAAGCUGUUCCUCAGUAAACAGCAUGCCCAUAUUGCUGCCUGUGUCCCUUUAACAGACACCACAGUUGUAUUUAUAUCAUGUAUGUAUGUGACUUGGGCUGGAGUAGUUUAUUUUUUUUCAAUUUGCAGAGUGGAAUGUAUCAUCCUUGCAAGAAUCACAGAAUCAUUAAGGUUGGAAAAGACCUCUAGGAUCAAGUCCAACCGCUAACGCAGCAAUACCAUGGCUCUUAAACCAUGCCCUGAAGCACUUGUAGGAAGCUCUGAACCUGUGUGAUCAUCAUAGGUGAGGGUUCCUCACUGCAGGAGGUGAUGAGGUACCACCCCUUGUCUCUGGACAGUGAUGGACCCGAGGGUGCCUUCUGCUCUUUCAUCCUUAUUCUUUGAGUGUCAGCAGUGCGAUGGGGUAAUGGCAGCAUGUCAUCAAACCUCUCACUUUCUGGCUGUGUUUCAGAAGUGGUCAAUUAAAUGUCUUAAAAGCAAUUCAGGCCAUUGUGUCUUCCUGGCGAGCCAUGAUAACUGUCAGAGGCAGGAAUUAGACUUGUCUGGAUACAGAAGAACA